rnacentral:tRNA from 1 species
GCGGGAUUGGUGGAAUUGGUAGACACACCAGAUUUAGGUUCUGGCGCCUCGUGUGUAAGAGUUCGAGUCUCUUAUCCCGCACCA